rnacentral:rRNA from 1 species
UACAGAGGGUGCGAGCGUUAAUCGGAAUUACUGGGCGUAAAGCGCACGUAGGCGGCUUGGUAUGUCGGGUGUGAAAUCCCCGGGCUCAACCUGGGAACUGCAUCCGAAACUGCCUUGCUAGAGUAUGGGAGAGGGAAGUGGAAUUUCUGGUGUAGCGGUGGAAUGCGUAGAUAUCGGAAGGAACAUCAGUGGCGAAGGCGACUUCCUGGACCAAUACUGACGCUCAGGUGCGAAAGCGUGGGGAGCAAACAGG